GCAACAAGUUGGAUGAUAGAGUCAGGAUCCAGCAAGAUCACCGGGCUAAAUUUAAUAAGUACUUGGAAAAGAAGACAACAACUUUGGGAAGAUGAGCCUAAGGCAUGGCCUGGCUUGAUAGGAUUUAAAUGCCUGUUCAAAUAUCCUCAAAACUGCAUCCUAUCUUCAUGUUUUAAGUACCAACCUUCUGGAUUUUGCAUUUCAAAGAAUCCACUCUGGUCUCUUCAUCUGGAAUAACUGGAAGUCCUUUAUUUCAUUAAGGAUCCAUUUUUCCCCCCAGUAAGAAUAUGCUCAGCUUCAAGUUAUUUUUAGUUGUAAACCUGUGUCUUUUGCCUCUCCCCUUCCCUCUUCCUCAUUUCCACACCCCCUAACUUUAAUUAAGUCCUCCCUCGUAAAAAAGUAAAAACACUUAAGCAGAACCAGUGACCUGUUUUUCACAUCUGACAGAUUAAGCAAUAUUACACAUCCAUAUGCUCUGAUAAUAAUAAAAGGAA